rnacentral:rRNA from 1 species
UGCAUAUCAAAAAAGCGGAGGAAAAGAAACCAACAGGGAUUGCCCCAGUAGCGGCGAGUGAAGCGGCAAGAGCUCAGAUUUGAAAUCGUGUUUCGGCACGAGUUGUAGAGUGUAGGCGGGAGUCUCUGUGGAGCGCGGUGUCCAAGUCCCUUGGAACAGGGUGCCUGAGAGGGUGAGAGCCCCGUAGGGUGCUGCGCGAAGCUUUUGAGGCCCUGCUGACGAGUCGAGUUGUUUGGGAAUGCAGCUCCAAGCGGGUGGUAAAUUCCAUCUAAGGCUAAAUAUUGGCGAGAGACCGAUAGCGAACAAGUACUGUGAAGGAAAGAUGAAAAGCACUUUGAAAAGAGAGUGAAACAGCACGUGAAAUUGUUGAAAGGGAAGGGUAUUGGGCUCGACAUGGGGGGUGCGCACCGCUGUCUCUUGUAGGCGGCGCUCUGGGCGCCCUCUGGGCCAGCAUCGGUUCCUGCUGCGGGAGAAGGGGCUCCGGAAAGUGGCUCUUCGGAGUGUUAUAGCCGGGGCCAGAUGCCGCGUGUGGGGACCGAGGACUGCGGCUUCUGUCUCGGAUGCUGGCAUAACGGCGCAAUACCGCCCGUCUUG